AGGACGAACGCUGGCGGCGUGCUUAACACAUGCAAGUCGAACGAGAAUCACUGGAAGGAGUUUUCGUACAACGGAAGGUGAGGACAGUGGCGGACGGGUGAGUAACGCGUGAGGAACCUGCCUUUCAGAGGGGGACAACAGUUGGAAACGACUGCUAAUACCGCAUGACACAUAGAGAUCGCAUGGUUUUUAUGUCAAAGAUUUAUCGCUGAAAGAUGGCCUCGCGUCUGAUUAGCUAGUUGGUGAGGUAACGGCCCACCAAGGCGACGAUCAGUAGCCGGACUGAGAGGUUGACCGGCCACAUUGGGACUGAGAUACGGCCCAGACUCCUACGGGAGGCAGCAGUGGGGAAUAUUGGGCAAUGGGCGCAAGCCUGACCCAGCAACGCCGCGUGAAGGAAGAAGGCUUUCGGGUUGUAAACUUCUUUUGUCGGGGACGAGUAGAAGACGGUACCUGGCGAAUAAGCCACGGCUAACUACGUGCCAGCAGCCGCGGUAAUACGUAGGUGGCAAGCGUUGUCCGGAUUUACUGGGUGUAAAGGGCGUGUAGCCGGGAAGGCAAGUCAGAUGUGAAAUCCACGGGCUUAACUCGUGAACUGCAUUUGAAACUACUUUUCUUGAGUAUCGGAGAGGCAAUCGGAAUUCCUAGUGUAGCGGUGAAAUGCGUGGAUAUUAGGAGGAACACCAGUGGCGAAGGCGGAUUGCUGGACGACAACUGACGGUGAGGCGCGAAAGCGUGGGGAGCAAACAGGAUUAGAUACCCUGGUAGUCCACGCUGUAAACGACAAUAAGGGGGUGCGGGGACUGACCCCCUGCGUGCCGCAGUUAACACAAUAAGUAUUCUCCCGGGGAGGGGGAUCUCGAGGUGGAAACUCAAAAGGAAUUGACGGGGGCCCGCCCAAGCGGUGAAUUAUUUGUUUUUUUUUGACGCAACGCGAAGAACCUUACCAGGGCUUGACAUCCUACUAAUGAAGUAGAGAUACAUCAGGUGCCCUUCGGGGAAAGUAGAGACAGGAGGUGCAUGGUUGUCGUCAGCUCGUGUCGUGAGAUGUUGGGUUAAGUCCCGCAUCGAGCGCAACCCCUAUUUUUAGUUGUUACGCAAGAGCACUCUAGCGAGACUGCCGUUGACAAAACGGAGGAAGGUGGGGGGGACGUCAAAUCAUCAUGCCCCUUAUGUCCUGGGCUACACACGUAAUACAAUGGCGGUCAACAGAGGGAUGCAAAACCGUAAGGUGGAGCGAACCCCUAAAAGCCGUCUCAGUUCAGAUUGUGGGGUGCAACCCGCCCACACGAAGUCGGAAUCGUUAGUAAUCGCGGAUCAGCAUGCCGCGGCG
rnacentral:rRNA from 1 species